UUUGUUACCGAUUCAUCAUCAUUUGCCUGCAUUUUUGAUUUAAUCCAAUUCGAUUCGAUUCCGAUCUCGAAUUCAGUACAUGUCUUAGGUUACAGAUCAUGUACUGAAUGUUACUGUUUCAAUCACCUCUUCUUCCCAAGACGAAUCUUAGGUCACAUAUCUCGCCUUCUCGCGAUUCCAAAGCGAGGCAAUAGUGUGAAGGCAAGGCAGCAGCUAGCUUCUCAACUUAUACCACUGAGAUUUUUCAACUCUCGGACAAUGCAGUCGAUUCCCAUUUGGAAUUAUGUGAAGCCGAGGAGGACUUAGGGGUAAACCACUCAUAAAUGCUUACCAUAUUUCUUUGUAUUUUUUAUAUCCAUUUCUGCAAUUGACCAGUCACUAUAGACAGACGGACACCCAGAUGGAGAUAUUCUGCAACAGCGGUUUUCUUUCUCAUAUUUCUUCAGGAUUCUUGGAAAUACACAGGUAUAGUGGAAGACUUAGGGCUAGGGCGGCUUCCUUAGGAUGAUUUGGCUUGCCAAGAAGGGAAUCCUCAAGCUGCAGUUGAUCCAACACUAGACAAUAAAGCUUUCAGAGGAUGGAGUGUAACAGACAAUCCCUGGACUAAUGAUGAUGAGACUGAUGAUAAUGCUGAGAUGACAUAUGUAAAUUUGCAAUUCAACACUGAACGUUACACUGGCUAUGUUGGUCCGUCUGCCAGAAGGAUAUGGGAUGCCGUUUAUUCAGAAAUUUGUCCCAAAUGUUUUUCCAGUAGAACAUAUUUGAUACACAACAAUAUGUUAACAGCUGGAUUUCGUUCACUCAGCUAGCUGCUCAGCUUCACCAUCUCUCUCUAGAGCUCGGAUUUCUGAUUUCCAAACCAUAGGAGGGACGAUUCAUCUAAGAAAAAAGCUUAACUUUGAUUGCUAAAGCUUCUACUUUAAUCACUCAAGCAUCGCCUUUCGUUUACUACAGUUUCUAGCUACAGCACAAUGGAAAGAGGAAGAGAAGGCAAAUGAAUAAUUACUCAGUCAUGUCAGUUCAACUAGAAAAGAAAUAGAGGAAGCAAGAAGAUUGUUUAGUUAGGAAGAUGAGAUGAAUUUGAAAAUAGCUAACAAUAUGCAAAAGUACAAAGUAGAGACUGAAAUGGUGGUUUUGUUAUCGUCGGGGAUUGGGAUGAUGCGGUUGUUGGAUUUAAUAAGAUAUGAAUCUUGAUUUUGCUUCUAUGUUUUGCUGCAGUGUGCUAAAAUAAUGCUCUGUUGAUUAACAUGGAUGAAAAGGAGUCUUUCAAAUAUAACAUGGAUGAAAAGGAGUCUUUCAAAUAUACUUCAUCUUGCUUUCCUUCAUUCAAAACAUGAUUGUGAACAGGUUGUUCUAUAAACUAGUUUGCUCAUAUUGUAAUAUAUAAAUUAUUAUUAUUU